rnacentral:rRNA from 1 species
GUCUUUUUGAGAAUAAUUUAAAGUCUAAUCUGCCCACUGAUAAUAUUAAAGGGCUGCAGUAUAAUGACUGUACAAAGGUAGCAUAAUCAUUAGUUUUUUAAUUGGAAACUUGUAUGAAAGAUUUGAUGAAAUAUGAACUGUCUCUUAAUUAUUAUUAAAAAUUUAUUUUUUAGUUAAAAAGCUAAAAUAUUUUUAAAAGACGAGAAGACCCUAUAGAGUUUUAUAAUUGAUUUUAUUUUAAUUAUAUAUAAAAAUUAAUAUUAAAAUAAAAUUAAUUAUUAUAUUGGGGUGAUAGAAAAAUUUAAUUAACUUUUUUUAAACUUUAAACAUAAAUAAAUGAGAAAAUGAUCCAUUAAUAAUGAUUAUAAGAAAAAAUUACCUUAGG